ensembl:lncRNA
GAGCUACAGGCUUGGCGGAGUUUAUGAAAAUUAUGCGAGCACACGUGACAAUGUCUGUCCUUGUUUAGUAAGUGGACCACUAUUCCAAGUCGUUUUAAAUUGCCUUUUCUUUUCCACUUCAGGAAACCUCAUUUGCUGCUCCUGUUGGCUGUGACUCUCAUUAGAAAUAGUGGAAACUGCGUGUGUUCUGGGUACUGGCAGUGCACUUACUCAAGUAUACACAGAAAGGGUUUCUGUACACUCAGACCACAGCAAGGCAGUUCUCAGGAUAGAAUCCAUUCCCCAAGCUCACACACGCUUCUCUCAGAACACCUGGAGGCACAACUCUUUUCUAAUCAAGUUUCUUAGCAAGCUGGCCGUGGUGGUGCACGGCUGUAAUCCCUGCACUCUGCGAGGCUGAGGCAGGAGGAACACAGGCUCAGGCAUGGCCUGAGCAACUUAAGAGACUUAGUGAGACCCUGUCUCAAAAAUUUAAAACAUAAAAAUGUUUAAAAAGGGCUGGGGAUGUAGCUUAGUGUGAAGAGUAUGGGGUUCAAUCCCCAGCAAGGCCUUAAUGAAAGGACAGAGCCAGAAGCACAGAUGAAAGGUCACAGUAGGCCACACUGGCCCUGCUGGGCCGGCAUAAAGAAGCACUGGUGCCGCUUCCAGGACACAGGGGACUGAGCAUUCACCCAGAGCUUGCUUUUUACCAAGAGUACAACAGCUUCUUGUGUCUUCUUCAGGCAAUUCCAGGUUUUAAAAUUGCUCAUCUCCACAAUACACUAUGAGGUAGAAAAGGCAGGUGUGGGUGCUAAUUUUCAAAUGACAAAAGCUAACACUUAAGAAGUCUAGGGCUGGAGCACACAUGGUGGUGCACACCUGUCAUCCCAGCACCUGGGAGGCUGAGGCAGGAGAAUCACCGUGAGUUUGAGGCCAACAUGGACUACAUACUGAGUUCAAGGGCAGCCUGGACAACACAGCAAUAGCCUAUCUCAAAAAAACCAAAACCAAAGCAACAACAACAAAAAAUCCAGAAACAGGUAACUUUGAACUAAGAGGACCUAUGAGGAAAAGUAAGGGAGGAAUAAAGGGGAAAUAUCUGUUGACAUCAGAGUACUUACUGUUUUCUAAACACAGUAAAAUCUUUGGAUAAGAAAUUAAAUGCUCUGACAAAUCCUCAAGUGAUAUAAUGGCAAUGUUAAUUUUCAAUAAAGCAUUUGCCAAAUUAUAGCAACUGUCUAAGAAAGCAACUGCUCUGAUUGUGCUACCUGGCCCUUUUAAGGUAUCUCUGACAUCUCCACUUUAAAAAAUAGGGUGGGGUGACGGUGGGGGUCCUACCAGCCGUGAAAGCGGCACUCCCAGAAGGCAUUAAAUGAAGACCCUGUGUGCAGGAAUGACAAUCGCCAGGGAUGUGGCACGGUGGAUCUCAGUGGACUACCAAGAAAUACUAGCCACCUCCUGCAGACCUGCGGCUUUCUCUGUAACACUUUCAGUCAUUCAAAAGACUACUGAUGAAGGCUCAGCAAACACAAGUGUAGGUUUGCUAAAAUAGUUUCUUUAAUAAUGCCACAUUCACUAGUAAUGGCAUUCCUUGGAUUGCACAUUCAUUACAUCAACCAAACUCAUUUAACCCUCUCCUACGGGACCGGAUACACAGUGACUCCUGAAAAGGAAGAAUGCAGGUACAGCCAUGGUAGGUAACAAGCUGAGCUGGGCCAACAGAAAGAACAUCUCAAAACAAUCAGAAAACUGUCACCAAACUACAGAGCCACCUUAACCACUACCUCAGAUGCUCACUUCCAGUUUAGCUUAGGGUCCUCAACAUUUCUUCUCCUAUGCUAAACUCCAGCUGUCUACUCAUAAAUCUGAGAAAUUCCAGCAAAGUAACCUCACCAUUCCCUAUGGCAGUGCAAAUUUUCUGACAUUUGUAAACACUGUACAUUUUACUUUUGGCACAGGGGAGAGCUUGCAGGUUCCUGUAUCUCUGAAGUGCAGAUUCUAAACACAGCUGGCUCCCAGUUUACAGCCAUUUUCCACAGAAGUAGUCUUGGUCUUGAUCCUGUGGGUGCACAUACAUGCACCCUCACAAACAAGGGACCAGCAAAAGGAACUCUUCCCUAGAGUGUGGGUCUCAACAAUUUAAGCCCAUAAUAGACUAAAUGGAAACAACAGAUUCACAGUAUCUAAAGCUAUGUACUUUCAGAAGUUCACAUAACUCUGCAGAAAAAAAUAAAAUAAAAAUACCAAACAGCUGGUUAGUGAAGUUUCCUCCUUUCUAAAGUGAACCGAGCUAACAUUACAAUGGCUUUGUAGAACCCAGGAACAUUCACCCAUUUCUCGUGAAUGACGUUUUUUUUUUGGUACCAGGGAUCAAACUUGGGAUGAAUGACUUUUUAAAGAAGCCAAUGUUGCACAAAUGAGCACACAUAAGAAAGCUUCAAAUUUAAAUACCUCAAUCCAAAUAAUAUUCUACAAAGUACAACAUACAACUAAGUGUAAUAAAUUGUAACUAAAACACAAUCCCAUUAUAUCAGAUGCUUAGCAGUGAGUCGGUUUACUUGGCACAAGCUCGUGGCGGACUGGAGGCUGGCCUGGCUGGACUCCCAUGGACUGCUCGAGCUGCCACUGGAAACCUGGGCUGUCCCUAGACAGACUCUGGAGAAAUGGUGAGACCUGUUGUAAGGCUUCAUCUACAGUUUGAGUACGAUUUAAGUACUAAAUACAAAACAUACAAUCACUGUUAAGUACACUGUAAGGAGAAUGACUUAGUAACUGUGUGAGGCAAGAGUCUUUUUGCUGUAAUCUAGGAAACACUUUUCUAAUGAUUUAUCAUCUCUGCUCUGAACCUUUUGUCCAAGAUAACAGGAUCAUAAAUACUAACCUAAGUGAUAUCUAAAAUAAGAAAUAUAGUGCUAAUGUGGUGUGAUUUCAUUAUUCAAUCUACGGCAUGAUGCAGCAGAAAGCGCUGAACUCCAACAGCUAUUUUAUUUAUGUAUUUUUAUUUUUUGGUACCAGGGAUCAAACUCGGGUCCUUGUGCUUUUGAGGCAGGAGGAUCAUAAGUUCAGCCAGGGCAGUUGAUCAACUUAGCAAGGUGAAGUCUUAAAAGCGUGUGUGGGGGAGUGUUCCACUUUGGGGGAUGGACAAAAACAAGAGUAAGAAGAUGGGUUGAAGUUUCUUGCAGGUAAACACAAGGUUUGGCUCAAACAUAUAUCCCAGCAGCACAAAACAACUUACACUCACAUCUUCUAAGCAAAGUACUUGGUACUAAGAGAGCUAGUGAAAAACUCAGAUAAGUAAACAGGAAAAAAAGGAAGGCUGAGUGGCCUACAUGGAUUCUGUGCUGGUAAAGAUGUAUCAACGUUACCAUUACAUAUCUACCAACAUAAAUACGAUGUGUAGUUCUUACAUAUAAAAAAAACCCUGCAAAUUUACAUAAGGGGAUCACAGGUAUAACUGCAGUUCCCUAAUUUUCUCAGUACUCCAGUUUAUCACUUACAAAAGGGCCUAAUAAAAAUCAAACAAGGGCAGGUGACUUAGCUCAGUGGUGCCGCCGCCUGCCUGGAAAGCGCAAGGUCGGGAGUUCAAUCCCCGGUAUCAAAAAAAAAACAAAAACAAAACACUAUCUAUUAUGAGGAGAGUGCUGCAGGAAGGAGAUAGGGAAAAAACUAAUUUUAAAAUUUUAGACUAUUCACCGUGCUCUCACAGUUUAAGUCAAAGGAAUAGUUUUGCUUAUGAGGGGGAAACACUUAUCCUUAUAUCCUGAAAAGCCAGGCUUGAGCUUCACUAACCAGGACACAAUGUUCAGGUCACUCCAUCACUUUAUUUGUUCUCACAGUGGGAGUAAAUGUUCUGAUUAGCUAACACUGACAUUUACAGUCUUCUCUUUUAGGAGAAAGUGUUAAAAGUCACUGUUCUCUCUAGUCUCAUUUUGGCUACAAAUCAGUCCCUAAAGCUGUAUUUUAAGCUUCUUAGUUGUCUCACAUUCAACAAGCCCUAUCUUAAAAUAUCUAACAAACAGGAUGGUACACACCUGUUAUCCCACCACUUUAGGAGGGUGAGGCAGGGGGGACUGAGAUCAGACUCCAGCCUGGCCAACCCAGUGAGAUCUUGUCUCAAAAAACUUAAAAGGCAGGCCAGGGAUUUAGCUCAGUGGUUCCACCACCUGACGCCUGCCUCGAAAGCAGAAGGACCGCAGUUCGAUCCUCAGUACCAAAAAAAAAAAAAAAAAAAAAUUUUAAAGGCUGUGGAUGUAGAUCAGGGAGACUGCACUGGGUUCAAUCCCCAGUACCACUACAAAAAAGCGCAAGGUCCUGAGUUCAAUUCCCAGUACCAACAACAAAAAGUGGGAGGGAGAAACAAGUAUUUAUAAAAGAUUUACUGGUCACGACACUUGGAUUUUAGUAAUACCUCUACCACUAAGCUGUGUCAUGUGGCUUCAUGUGAAAAGAGGGACUAAAUAAUUGAGUGCUUUAUAGUUUUAAAACUCAGAAAAUUUUAAGAAAAUUUCCCUUCUAGAAACUAAAUAUAAGAAGACAUCCAGUUCUAUCUACUUUCUGCUGAAGAUCUACAAUGGUAGGGAAGAAAAGCCCUCCCUUGGAGAGUGGGGAUCAGUCAGUUUCUGGGGAUUUGGGCACUUUUAACAAGAACCCCAGGCCGGGGAUUUAGCUCAGUGGUUUCCCUGCCUGCUGCGCAAGUGCAAGGACCCGAGUUUGAUCCCUGGUACAAAAAUAAUAAUAAUAAUAAUAAUAAUAAAAUAAAAAAUAAAAAUUAGAAAAACUGUAUAUAUAAAAGAAGAAAAAA